CCUACGGGAGGCAGCAGUGAGGAAUAUUGGUCAAUGGACGAGAGUCUGAACCAGCCAAGUAGCGUGAAGGAUGACUGCCCUAUGGGUUGUAAACUUCUUUUAUAAAGGAAUAAAACGAGGCACGUGUGCCUUUUUGCAUGUACUUUAUGAAUAAGGAUAGGCUAACUCCGUGCCAGCAGCCGCGGUAAUACGGAGGAUCCGAGCGUUAUCCGGAUUUAUUGGGUUUAAAGGGAGCGUAGAUGGGUUGUUAAGUCAGUUGUGAAAGUUUGCGGCUCAACCGUAAAAUUGCAAUUGAUACUGGCAGUCGUGAGUACAGUUGAGGUAGGCGGAAUUCGUGGUGUAGCGGUGAAAUGCUUAGAUAUCACGAAGAACCCCGAUUGCGAAGGCAGCUUACUAAACUGUGACUGACAUUGAUGCUCGAAAGUGUGGGUAUCAAACAGGAGUAGAUACCCUAGUAGUC
rnacentral:rRNA from 1 species